UCCAGUGUUAUGUAACUCAAAUAACACAUGAUGAAUACAUUAGUUUUAUUCCAGGAAUGAAAGAGAAUGUUUACAUUUUAAAAUCCAUGGCAACAUUUACCACAUUAAAAUAUUAAUGGAGAAAACAGUCUCAGAAGCAGAAAAUACAAUACUUAUUCAUGAUAAAAUAAAAUCUUAAAACUUAAACAUGAUAAAAUUACCAAUCACUUAUGGUCAAAAAAAUUAAUAUACUCAUGGUAAAACACAAACUUUAAAUAUCAAAGGAAAACAAAUUUUUUCAACUUGAUAAAGAAUAACCACCAAAGACAAUAAAUAUCAUUCCUUGUGUUGAAACAUCAGAUGCAUCACCUUUAAAAUCACAAAUAGUAUAACCACCACUAUUUAACCACUUCUAUUUAACUUUCUGGAGGACCUAGACAAAGCACAAAUAUAAGAAAUACAAAUAAAAAUUUUUAGAAUUGAAAAAUGAAAGUCACAACUAUUAUUUUUCACAGAUGAUACUACUUACAAAGAAAAUUCCCAAAAAGCCUAUAGACAAAUUAUAGAAACAGGGGGUUUAGCAGAAACACUCUAUUUCUGAUCAACUUGUAGUAAUCAAUGCAUAUCUAUACAAUAGCAACUAACAAAACACAUUUUUUAAUUUAUGCAUUCCUUCAAAUUUACAUAUUUAUGGGAUAAUUACUAUUUGCCAGGCAUUUUUCUGGCACUGAGAAUAUAGCAGUGAAUACAAUUAAUAAAUAUUCCUGCUUUCAUGGGACUUACAUUCUAGUGGGAAGUGAUACAAUGAGUUAAUAAGUACAACAUAGCAUAUGAGAGAUAUGUAAGAUAGGCAAAAAGAAAAAUUAAAGUAGGAUAGAGGCCAAAGAAGUGCCAGUGAAUUAGAGGCAGCAUUAAAAUUUAGAUUGGAUGGCUAUGAAAAGUCUCUCUGAAAAGGGAACAUUUGAGUAAAGCUUUAAAUAAAGUGAGAGAUGAGCCAUCUGAAUUAUCUGAAGGAAAAUAACACAGACAGAAGAUAAAAACUCAAGUGCAAGAGCCUCAAGGUGGGGCAUACCUACAGUGUUCUAUAAAUAAGUAGAAUUUGUAGGAGGCUAGUGUGCCUGCAAUUGAGCAAAAGAUGGGAGGGUAGCAGGAGAUAAUGUCAGAGAGGUAAAAGGGAUCUAGGUAAUGUAGGGCCUCAGAGGUUAUAAUGACCUUACCUGUAACUCAGUAAGAUGGGAGGUUACUGGAAAAUUUUCAGCAGAGAAAUGUCAUGGACAGACUUAUGUUUUAAGAAGAUGACUGUGGCUGCUGUGUUCAAAAGAGACUGAAGAAAAGUAAAGACAAAAGCAGAGAUCAGUUAGGAGGCUUUUGCAAUAAUACAAACUACAGACGGUGGCAAAAAAAAAAAAACAGAGAGCAAAAGUGCUAGUGGUAAGAAAAAAUGAAAAUGUAGAUAUUUUUUCAAAGAUAGAGCCAAAAUAAUUUCUUUUUCUUAUCAGAUGUGAGAUGUGAGAGAGAGAGACGUCUCAGGGAUGACUCUAGAGUUUUUUGGCUAAGUAACUAAAGUGUGGAGUUUCCAUUAAUUAAGAAGGAGAACAUGGAAGGGGAGAUAAUUGAAAUGAAGAAAUGACAUUUAACUGGAGGUGUUCAGUAAGCAGUUGGAUAUAUGAAACUAGAGUUCAGAGAAGAGAUCUCAGUUGAAGAUGUAAAUUAAGGGAUAAUUAAUAUAUAGGCAGAAUUUAAAGCCAUAAGACUGGAUGAGAUCACCUAGGGAGUGAAGACAACCAACAGAGGGUCAAGAACUGAGCCUUGAAACACCUCAGUAUGCAGAGAUUCGGGGGGUAGGGAGCAAACAAUAGAGGCAAUGAAAAAUUAUAGCAGUUACUUGCAAUAACAAGGCCUAGGAAAUGACUAUGAAAGUGAGUUAAGUGGAUCACUGGAGGAGAGGCUGUCAAGGAACUGAAACUUCAGAGAGUUAGAAGGAUCAUCCAUAUCAACAUUUCAAUCAUGAAGCAUUAUGGAGGAAUCACUUUUAAGAAAGUGACAAUAUCACGGGGAUUAAUUUUUUUAAUUGACAAAAAGAUGAGGUGAGAAGAGGUGCCCAUAACAAAAAGGUACAAUGAGUGGGCAAAUCUGAUGACAUGAGAUUCACGGAAGGGUAUGUUCAUGAAGGAGGGAGAACAAACUGAAAGCAGCAAUGAGAAGCAAAGGGGACACUUAUCUGACUUUCAGGACCUAUGCUACAUUUGAGUGGAGUAGAGAGAACAGUUACCCUUAAAGGUACUGUAAGAUGUGAUGUGUUGUUGCUCUCUCAUACUGGCUUAGGAGAGCUGAGUGUGGACAUCAAGUCCCAGGCUCCUUAUUCAGUGAAGUGAGAAGAUAGCUUAAAUGGCUAUGGUGUGAGUGUUUAACAGCACAGAAACUGGAAAACACUAUACAAAUCAAGGGUUUGGGGAGUCAGAAGAGGGAAAUAUUGGGUCAAAAAAAAAGGAUCCUUACGGAGGAUUAGAGUUCUGGGAUAAAUGAUUAACUGGAAGUCCUGGACUCCUUUUAUGAAGACUGUAAAGAACACAGAUAAAGGGUAUGGGUGUUGACGAAAGGGAGGAUUGGAGGAGAACAAGCCAGGAACACCUGUUGCUCAGAAUUUCCCAUUUGGCUCCUGCUGACAAAUGUCCUGAAGAUGGGCAGUCUUAGUCGAUGUGCUGGUGUGCACUGUUGUUCUCUUGUCUCCUGCCAAUAGUGUCCUGCAGAGGUACGGUCUUAUUCCAAGUUUGAGAGUUCCCUGUCCACUGCUGCUGAUGGAGGCAUGGAGUUAGACAGAGGGCUGUUCUCGCACUGAGCUCAUAAGCUUUCUCUUGAUUUCUGUUGAAGGAGGCCUCAAAGCCAACAAAGGAACAAGCUUAUUUAUUUAAAAAGAUAUCAUAUACAAGAGCAAAACUAUAAGGUACUUAGAAUUAUAUUUAACAAAAACAUGUACAAGAUCUGCAUGGGGAAAAUUAUAAAAUUGUUAUUGAAAGAUGUUAAAGAAUGUCCAAAUAUGUGGGGAGAUAAACUAUGUUCAUUCACGCAUUGAAAGAUUCAAUAUCGAAAAGAUGCUAGAAUCUCCAUAUUAAUGUAUAAAAAUAUAAAAUAUUUCAAUAAAUGUUAUGAGAAUUUUUU
rnacentral:lncRNA from 1 species